rnacentral:tRNA from 1 species
UGGCUCAGACGGUAAAGCGUCUGCCUACAACGCGGGAGACCCGGGUUCGAUUCCUGG